GAGAACUGGCUGUGGCAGCCAGCAUGCAUAGUAACUUUCUCUUUUGAUCCCUCAAUGUAGAUUAUUCUUAUCAUUGUUCACCCACUAAUAGGGAACAUGAACCUGGUUUAAACUGUUAUGAGUU
rnacentral:rRNA from 1 species